ensembl:lncRNA
GGGGUGCCCGCGGUCGGCGUCGCGAUCGUACGGGCGGGUCGCGCUGCGGCGUGAAACGGCGCGUUUUCGAGGGAGAGCGGCUGAAAGAUGGGUGAAGUGAGUUCCACGUGGGGAUGAACGGACUCCUCGCGAAACCCCGGCUGAGUCCGACAGAAAUCAGUUGGUGCUGCGUGCGAGAACGUCUCGUUUACACUUCGCAAAACAGCCGGUGGUUUUCUGAGCGCAAUACUGAGCAAAACUCCUUUGAUCGCUUCAGGGCUGAAGGGAGCCUCGCUUGCCGGGGCACAGUGGGGAGGGACGGGGAGCGCAACCCCCCGUGGCACCGGGAAUGGGAAGAAAGCGGGGUUUUGUGUGGCCUCAGCUGCGAGAGUAGAGAGCGUCACUGGCGGGAGAGCAGCAGCCCUCAGCCCGCUGAGGGAUCCCAGCGCGCUCCAGAGCAGCGGGGUCACGGCCGCGGCCAGGCGAGGUGCUGCUUCUCCCCUGGCAGCACGAGAGAAUCCAAAGCUGGGAACACCAGGUCCCUUCGUGUGCAAGAUUAGUCUUUUCUUGCCUGUUGUAUGUUUAAAAUGUAAUGUAUUCUGAACCUUCUGGGACCUAACUCGCAGCUCCACAGGAUUCUGUUACCGAUGAGUCCGCGUGCGCAACCUCUCAUCAAACGCAAGAGGUGCUCCCAGGAUCUCAGCAUCUCUCUCCCAUGGCAGGGACGGGAUAGGCAGCACGAGGGGAAGUUGCUUAUAAGCACCGUCGUGUAGCGUCAGAGCUGCAGGUUUGAAAGCUCUGAGAGCCAACCUCACAGAACCUUCCUGCUCUGAGGCACCAGCACCUUGCUCAUUCACGAAAUCACUCUGAGGAAGAAGGCAAAAUGAAUUUUUGCAUUAGGGACACAUCACUGGUUUCUCCGUAGUGCUGAUAACACAACUUUAGUGAAAAUCUCGGACCUUUUGCUACACAGAAUAACCAUGUUGCCCUGAAUGGUUAUUGUUUAGUGAAACAUCUGAAAACACAUAAUAGACUACUUGUUUGCAACGCUUGCUAUAGAUUUUGUAAUGAAGUGCCGUUGCGCUGCAUCAAUUUGACAGUUCGAGUUGAUAAUUUGACAGAAAGAUUAAUCCUAAACUCCCAGCAUAAACAGAAUUCCCUUUAAUGUCAGAAGGGACUUUGUAACUGCCAGCCCAAACGCUGCGGAUGGGCUUCAGCAGGUUACAGAGAGCGUCUUCAGGAUCAAAUUUGACAUUCCUCUUCCUGACUAACAGUUGGUAGUUGAAAAUAGAACACCUCUCCCAGUUCUGAAUUCUGACCCUCACUUCUUGCUCACCCAAACCGAGGACUUCCAGACUUCUUUUCCCAAACGCUCACCGCGAAGGCUUUUGAAUGCAGAUGUUCACUCGUGUCUCCUGACAGUAGGCUCAGUUUUCUCAGCUACUUUUAGUAAGCUCCUAAAAACAGCCCACGGUCCCUCAGAACCUCAUCAACAACUGGCUAAAAGCCACGGUCUCACUGUAUCCUUUUUUCUUUUGGUAUCUGCUACAGACUUUGGACAGGUACAAAAGUUCUACCUCUCUGGGUCCAGGUCUCUCUGUCUGACAGCACGUUAUUUCUGCAGCUGUCACAUCUCCUCAUUUUCUAGAGCUGUUAUUACCUUUACAUAAUACGUAUUAUUAUAUUACAUAUUCUUCAGAAGUUGUUCUUCCAGUGGCAACAUAUGGAGGACCAUCAACCGUCAAGACGGAAGUUCAUGCAACUGUCAAGACUGAAUUUCAUGCAUUCAGAAUGCUUAGGCACCAUCUGACACUCGUAGGCCAACCAGCCAUUCCGUGCAUACAGAAACACGCCUGUGAACUUCUCCCUGCAGUCAGCUCCUUCAGCUCCCCACUUCCACGCCAGUGAUGUUAUUUCACCCACACCUUGCAGAAGGGGCGCAUUCCACUCAUUCCUGAGCUGGGACGAGCGCCCGCAGCAUUACUCACCCACAGCAGUGUCUGUAGAUCCCUGUCUGCUGUGGAUACUAAUCUCAAUCCAGAGCUUCCUCAGACGAUUAGAGGCUGUUCUGCAAAAUGUCAAUACACAGCCUCUCCGAAGCCAACACGGUGUGGUGGUUGAAAUGGGAGCCGUGGAGGCUUUCCAAAUAUGAAGGUCUGGAAAUGUUUGGAGGUAUUUUAAUAUUGAUGAAUACUUCAGAUUUUUUUUUUUUCUGUUGCUUCAGUGUAUCAGUGUCAAAUCUGUGCGGAUUAAUGGCAAGACAGAGCCCUAGUACCAUUCGUGUCUAUCAAAGUUCUGGCAAAUGCUAACAACUUACUGCUAUUAAUGAUCACUCUUUGCCCAGAAGUUCACAUAAUUCAUCAAAAAGCCAACGUUGAUAAGCAGAAAGAAAUUAAAUACUUCUGAGUCUUCUGUUAAAAUGCCUUUCUUUUUACUUUGUUUAACAUCUAAUGUCUCCUACAGCAAAAGUAAGCAAGGGGAAGUCUUUUCCUUCUUCAGCACAAAAGAGCACCCACACCACUCAAAAACAGUUGAGAUUAAACCUUUGAAAAGGUAUCAGCAGUGUGUGUAAAGCCAAAUUGGUAAAGUGUGCCCUAGACACCACUUUUGACUCUGGGGAAAAUGCUUUAUCAUCUGUCUACUGCUACGCUCUGCCUAUUCAUCACCAUUACUCAGUAACUCUGCGGUGGCAGCUUUGUACUUAACAUGAAGCCAAAGAUCAGGGAGAGGCACACAUCAAACAAGACUUGAACUUGGAGAUGGCAAACCAUACGUUCUAGACCUCAUUCCUUUAAAGGACCGUACCUCGGAAUGAAACCUGUGAGCCUUUUCUAUAGUUUCAUUUGUUCAAUACAGUGCUCCACUUGUUCUGUAAAAGAAGUUGGCAAAAGCCCUGCUUUCCUGAGAUCUUGUCAUUCAUUGUGACUGAAACCUAAAAGGCUGUCCUAUGGUACUAAGGCAGGUCUGGGGUACCUGAGAGAUCUACCUGCUCCCUAUGCCUCCAUUCCACAUUCUUCACACACCUUGAAACCAAGGAACUGUCAAACACAGAAGCAAAGAUGGCGAGGGGUGUACACCCCCAUUCUUUGCAGCUUUCCAUGGCUGUAAAGUUCCCUGUGAAGUGACCCGAGAAUAUGUACAAUGACAGAAAACUCAUUUCUUCACUCGCCAUUUCUCAACAACAGCCAGUUCCAGCCCUUGUCAUUCUUCUACUUCUCCACACAGACGAAGGCAGGAGAGAAUUCUCUUGGUUUAACUUUAAUAAAUGGGUAAGUCUCACAGGCAUUACAAUGGUAGGAGGAGGUGCAGAAAAGUUGUGUGUGGUUGGGAUACGAUGGAAAUUUCUCUGUUAUUUUAAAAUUAUUUCUUCCUUUAUAAUAGAUCAUUUGUGCUUAUACACUCCUGAAAAUGCUUUUAUAGCAAUCUACAUCAAGUUCUUCCUAAAAAGCAUCCCUCCUCUUUUUGUCUUUUUGUGAAGAAUAGAUUUUUUUUUUACAAUAAAGAUAGUGGUUUAUACAUUUGCUCAUAAUUCUGUAUUUCCCCUGUGAGCUUUAUUACAUGAUAUAGUAUGUCAGUUUAAGUAACGUCUGUCAAGGGAUGGAAAACAAUUACAGGUUCUUUUCAUUCAUGAAAGUCAUUCUGGAGUUUCUUCAUCCUUAAUUUUCU